AGCAGCGUGGCUCAGUGGAAAGAGCCCGGGCUUGGGAGUCAGAGGUCAUGGGUUCGAAUCCCGGCCCUGCCA
rnacentral:tRNA from 1 species